rnacentral:lncRNA from 1 species
GUAAACAUGUAGUCUACUGAAUGGAACGUCUGGUAAAACAAAUGUAGUCUACUGAAUGGAACGUCUGGUCAACAUGUAGUCUACUGAAUGGAACGUCUGGUAAACAUGUAGUCUACUGAAUGGAACGUCUGGUCAAAAUGUAAUGUCUAUGGAAUGUUCAAUAUUUCUCUUUGAUUAGUAAUUACAAAGUUACCACACUUUUGAAAUAUAUAAAAAUGUAUGGAUUUGUUACAUGAAAAUAAGACACUUUGAUAAAAUGGUUUCUGUAUUGUUUGUGUGUUGACAGAACUGGAGAAACUGAGUGGUCAUUUCCAGCUCCUGUUAACCCUUCCGGCAGCCAAACGCUCCUCUCUGCUUCAGCUCCUCAAGACAACCAUGGAGGACAGAGAAGCAGUCAGUGUGCUGGAGAGUGUGCUGGAUCAGAUGUGGUGAGGUGAGACUCCUGACCUGGGUGAUCUGGAAGAGUCUGAGAGAGAACAGUCCAGGCCAUACUGGAUCUUGUAGACCAAUGUGUUGGGAAGGAUGAGACGAGAUCAGAUCCUCACUUCUCAGUGCCGUCCACCUCAUUGUCAGUGCCAUGGUCGGUGAGAUAGAGAGCAGUUUUCACAGGAUUCUCCAGUUCCUGGGAAACUAGGUUCACUACUGUGGUUUUAUGUGUGUAUAUUUAUAUUCUCAGAGAUGACAGAUGAAGUCUCUCUGUGUUGGGAUCCUGUUGCAGUCCUCCAGUCUUACAGGCCCUGCAGAUCCUGGUGCAGCAUGUGGCAGCAGGGAGUGGGGAGACCCUCUCUCUGAGAGAUGCAGGUCUGGCUGUUCUGACUGAGGAGGAGCUGUAUCAGAGGACAGAGAGUCUCUUUGGUCACUCUGAAGUUACACUGAAGAGAGAGGAGGACACACUGAGGACAGAGAUGAAGGACCAGCGUGGAUACCUUCCUCUAGUCAUGAGUAUCACUGUGAAAGGCCUUUUUAGUUUAAGCUGAGAGAGAGACAGAGAGUCCCGGACUAGAAUCCCACACGCAGAUUCUAAACAGACGUUGAACUGAAAAACAACUAUUUCCAUUGAUUGUUAAUUCCCUGCAUUGUGUAUUUAUCUUCGAAUAUUCUUACAUAAUAUUUUGUGAGUGUGAUGUUUACUGUUCAUUUUUUAUUGUUUAUUUAAAUUUGUUUAUUAUCUAUAUUACUUGCUUGGCAGGUUAACAGGUAUGCCCGCAUGACUGAAGUUG